GACUGACUGUUCAAGGAACUGAAGCAGUGGACAGCUUGCUGUGAAAGAUGGGAGCAUUGUUCCUCUGGUCUGGACAAGCCCAUAUUAAGUGGGAGAUGUUCAAUAUCAACCCGAUGCGAGGCAGCAAAUGUGGAAAUGGACGCAAGUCAAGGACAGCUGCAGACAGCAAGAUAAUGAAACUGAUACAGCGAUUGCACUGAAUCACUGAAGAUAUGAGCCGGAAUGCGAACAGUAUACUCGUACAGUUUGGCAGAAUAAACCCCAUCUUAUGCGUUCAGAGCAGCUGGAUGUUCACUGUUUACUUGGCAAGAAGUAGUAUGUAUGCAUGCUUCCUGCCACAGCUAUGUGCUGUCCCACACUUUGUGGGAAACACUGAAUUCUGCAUUUGCUGAGAAAUAUAUGUGCCAAAUAGUGCAUUUUGUUGCUUUCCAGUCACCAAUGCACAGAAGUUGACCCCACACUGUACUUAAAAAGUUGUAAUAAUGGGUGUUCUGUGGUGAAGAAAAUUAUGGUGCUUUACAUGCAGCUACCGCAGUGAUUAUUGACUGAUGCCAGUGGCAGCUUCUACUUUGCUGCGAAGAAGUUGUUAGAGAGAGGAUACACAGGUUAAGCAGUAAUAAUGACAAAAAUUUCCACAGGAUGUUAUAUGCAGCAGUCAUGAGAAAAGACAUGCAUGCACAUGUUGCCCCUGUUGUAACAUAUAUUAGGCUACAAGUGCCAUUAUAUUUG